rnacentral:rRNA from 1 species
AACGCGAAGAACCUUACCAGGUCUUGACAUCCCACUGCCCGGUAUAGAGAUAUACCUUUCCCUUCGGGGACAGUGGUGACAGGUGGUGCAUGGUUGUCGUCAGCUCGUGUCGUGAGAUGUUGGGUUAAGUCCCGCAACGAGCGCAACCCUUGAUCUUAGUUGCCAGCAUUUAGUUGGGCACUCUAAGGUGACUGCCGGUGACAAACCGGAGGAAGGUGGGGAUGACGUCAAAUCAUCAUGCCCCUUAUGACCUGGGCUACACACGUGCUACAAUGGAUGGUACAAAGGGCUGCGAGACUGCGAAGUCAAGCCAAUCCCAUAAAACCAUUCUCAGUUCGGAUUGCAGGCUGCAACUCGCCUGCAUGAAGCUGGAAUCGCUAGUAAUCGUGGAUCAGCAUGCCACGGUGAAUACGUUCCCGGGCCUUGUACACACCGAUAGC